UACGGAGGAGGCAAGCGUUAUCCGGAAUUAUUGGGCGUAAAGCGUCCGCAGGUGGCACUUCAAGUCUGCUGUCAAAGACCGGGGCUUAACCCUGGAAAGGCAGUGGAAACUGAAGCGCUAGAGUGUGGCAGGGGUAGAGGGAAUUCCUGGUGUAGCGGUGAAAUGCGUAGAUAUCAGGAGGAACACCGGUGGCGAAGGCGGCCCUCUGGACGGUGACUGACGCUAAGACGCGAAAGCGUGGGGAGCAAACAGG
rnacentral:rRNA from 1 species